GAGCAGAAGCCGACUGGCAAUCCUUAGCAGCUGCUGACUCCCAGGAAAAAAAUCCUGGCUUUAAAGACACGAACUCAGUUUUUAUAGAACAAGGAGGACUGCAAGAGAAGGCACUGGAAGUGAGGGCAAGGGAUGUGCUGUAUGACACUUGACGCUGGGCGGUGGCUGCUAGCCGAAGCGUCCAGGCAGCCCUGCCAUCAGAAGGAUAAACCAGAGACUCUUGAUGCCUUCCUGAAGUUAGAACACUAGGCCUGCUAAACCAUCAAGCGCUGAUGCUCUAGUGCCUUCUACCCACAAUUCUCCAGCCUCAGCAGAAACGGGAGAAAUUGAUGACCCUGUCGUCUUGCCAUCCCCAUCACCCAGCAAUUAAUUUUAGUUCGAUGCCUUCAAACACUCUUCAGGGGCAGCGUGCGUUCAGCUGUGUCAGCUAAUGAAUCUCCAGUGCUAGGAGACUCACAAGGUGGAGAGAAAUGGCCUGACUUAUAGAAACUGAGCGGAGCCUCUGGAGCCACCUGAUGCAGAAAAACCUGUGACCUGGAAAAGUCUAUUUGUGUUUCCCCUGGGAGUCUGGGCCAAGAAGACAGGGACAAGCUCUCAGCUCUGACUACCCCUUUCACAGGGAAAAAAAUCCUCUGCCUUCUUUGCACCAAGUGACAAAUUCCUUGCCAUAUCGAGAUGGCUUUUCCUCUUCCUCUUCCAACGUCUUUUAGCAGCAACAGCAGCUCAAGUAACUGGAGUUAUUUCAGUGUGAAAAUGCAGGCUUUGUAGACCUCUUAUGCAGACAGAUGCAGUUUCAAAGGAAACGUCUUUGGCUGGGUACUCAAGUGUUACACGGGGAUUAUGGGGAGUUAAUCUUCACUGUUUGUCGUGGGAGAAGAGGAAAGCAGAGCUGCUCUUUCUCAUUACUCUCCCCAGCGUGCCUCUGUUUCCUUUCGUAUCUUGGAAUUAGGAAGACGGAGGAGACUUGAGCAGUGACCCACCCAGCCUCUUGAUGCAUGCUGGGCUCACCUUAAAACCCCCAAAACAGAUGGCAGUUGAUUGUGGUUGUAAAGACCCCAGCAUAGACUUCCUGCAGCCUCCCUUGUUAGCCACUAUCAGUGCUUAACCUUCUGUCAUCUGAAUAACUGCUUCUUUAAAAUGAUGUUCGAGACCAGCCUGGUCAGCCUGGUGAAACCCCAUCUCUACUAAA